ACGAAGGGGGCUAGCGUUGUUCGGAAUCACUGGGCGUAAAGCGCACGUAGGCGGACUUUCAAGUCAGGGGUGAAAUCCCGGGGCUCAACCUCGGAAUUGCCUUUGAUACUGUAGGUCUCGAGUCCGGAAGAGGUGGGUGGAAUUCCUAGUGUAGAGGUGAAAUUCGUAGAUAUCAGGAGGAACACCGGUGGCGAAGGCGCUCAUCUGGCCCAAUACUGACGCUGAGGCGCGAAAGCUAGGGGAGCAAACGGGA
rnacentral:rRNA from 1 species